AACGAACGCUGGCGGCAUGCCUAACACAUGCAAGUCGAACGAGACCUUCGGGUCUAGUGGCGCACGGGUGCGUAACGCGUGGGAACCUGCCCUUAGGUUCGGAAUAACUCCCCGAAAGGGGUGCUAAUACCGGAUAAUGUCUUCGGACCAAAGAUUUAUCGCCUUUGGAUGGACCCGCGUUGGAUUAGCUAGUUGGUAGGGUAAAAGCCUACCAAGGCGACAAUCAAUAGCUGGUUUGAGAGAAUGAUCAGCCACACUGGGACUAAGAGACGGCCCAGACUCCUACGGGAGGCAGCAGUGGGGAAUAUUGGACAAUGGGCGAAAGCCUGAACCAGCAAUGCCGCGUGAGUGAUGAAGGCCUUAGGGUUGUAAAGCUCUUUUACCCGGGAUGAUAAUGACAGUACCGGGAGAAUAAGCUCCGGCUAACUCCGUG
rnacentral:rRNA from 1 species